UACGAAGGGGGCUAGCGUUGCUCGGAAUCACUGGGCGUAAAGGGUGCGUAGGCGGGUCUUUAAGUCAGGGGUGAAAUCCUGGAGCUCAACUCCAGAACUGCCUUUGAUACUGAAGAUCUUGAGUUCGGGAGAGGUGAGUGGAACUGCCAGUGUAGAGGUGAAAUUCGUAGAUAUUGGGAAGAACACCGGUGGCGAAGGCGGCUAUCUGGACCGACAUUGACGCUGAGGCGCGAAAAGCGUGGGGAGCAAACAGGG
rnacentral:rRNA from 1 species